rnacentral:rRNA from 1 species
AUUGAACGCUGGCGGCAUGCCUUACACAUGCAAGUCGAACGGCAGCAUAGGAGCUUGCUCCUGAUGGCGAGUGGCGAACGGGUGAGUAAUAUAUCGGAACGUGCCCUAGAGGGGGGGAUAACUAGUCGAAAGACUAGCUAAUACCGCAUACGAUCUACGGAUGAAAGUGGGGGAUCGCAAGACCUCAUGCUCCUGGAGCGGCCGAUAUCUGAUUAGCUAGUUGGUGGGGUAAAAGCCUACCAAGGCGACGAUCAGUAGCUGGUCUGAGAGGGCGACCAGCUACACUGGGACUGAGACACGGCCCAGACUCCUACGGGAGGCAGCAGUGGGGAAUUUUGGACAAUGGGGGCAACCCUGGUCCAGCAAUGCCGCGUGAGUGAAGAAGGCCUUCGGGUUGUAAAGCUCUUUUGUCAGGGAAGAAACGGUAGUAGCUAAUAUCUACUACUAAUGACGGUACCUGAAGAAUAAGCACCGGCUAACUACGUGCCAGCAGCCGCCGUAA